GGAUAAGUACUCAAGUUGGCCGAAGAGGCGCCCCUGCUAAGGGUGUAGGUCGGACUUAAACCGGCGCGGAGGUUCAAAUCCUCUCUUCUCCGCCA
rnacentral:tRNA from 1 species